CAUAUAUAUAUCGCGUUCGAAAUGUCAAUUGUUAGUAUCUGUCAAUUCUUACAUAUUAGACGGAAUGAAGACUCUAGUAUUCGUCGCGUGUAUAUUAGCUGCCGUCUCGGCAGAUAAUAUACUCCGUCAUAUAAAAACGUCAGAGAUGUUUGAUAUAAUAAAACUACUUGAUUUCCAAAAAAACGCUUGAAGAAUGCGCUUUGAAAUUGGAUUCAUUGGAUAUCGUCACUCCCGAGACACUCUACUGUGUAGCGCAAAAGAAAAACUUGAUCAAUAAAGACAAUGGAUUAAAAUUACAUAAGGGUGUGAAUUAUAGUAAUACCAUCGUUCGCAAUGGCAAUCUGAGAGAUAAAAUGACAGGGAUGAAGGAUCAAUGUAAAGAAAAAAUUGCAGGCGAUAAGUUUAAAGGAAGUCAGUAUGAAAAAACUAUGAAAUUUAUGGAAUGUUUCUUGCCAAUUGUAAACUACAUUCUAAGAAAACUGGGACCAUUUAAAAAUAAUAUAUAAAAUAACUUUAAUUAUGUCAUUGUCAUUCCUAAUAAAAAGUAUAAUUAUGUAACAAA
rnacentral:lncRNA from 13 species